rnacentral:misc_RNA from 1 species
UCCGAGUUGACCCCGGCAGUCUCCCAUGAGUCCCCACCAUUACGUGCUGGCAACAUGGAACGAGGGUUGCGCUCGUUGCGGGACUUAACCCAACAUCUCACGACACGAGCUGACGACAGCCAUGCACCACCUGUGCACGGCCCUUACGGACCCGACAUCUCUGCCGGAUUUCCGUGCAUGUCAAGCCCAGGUAAGGUGGGGAUGACGUGUAACCGAAUCU